rnacentral:tRNA from 1 species
ACUUGAGUAUUAUAAUUAUUAUAUUUAACUUCCAAUUAAAAAAUCUAGAAAAAUCUAGCUUAAGUA